rnacentral:lncRNA from 1 species
UUUUUUUUUUUUUUUUUUUUUUUGAGAUGGCGUCUUGCUCUGUCGCCUCGGCUGGAGUGCAGUGGUGCAAUCUCGGCUCACUGCAACCUCCGCCUCCCAGGUUCACGCGAUUCUCCCGCCACAGCCUCCUGAGUAGCUGGGAUUACAGAUGUGCGCCACCACGCCCGGUUAUUUUUUGUAUUUUUAGUAGAGAUGGGGUUUUGCCAUGUUGGUCAGGCUGCUCUCGAUCUCCUGACCUCAUGAUCCACCUGCCUGGACCUCCCAAAGUGCUGGGAUUACAGGCGUGAGCCACUGCGUCCAGCCUAGGUCAUUUAUCUUUUGAAGAAUGUAGUGGCUCAGGCAAGAGACGUAGGGGACCAUGUUCUGUAUUCUAUUUUGUCUUCAAAGCAUCUUUCUGGAGACCUAUAUGUCAUCAUAGAGCCAGAGGCAUUGUGAAAUUAUGCUGGCAAGCAGAAAUGAGUAAACACGGCUUUUUAUGUUUGCUGCUUUGUUUUACACUUUACUCCAGAUUGGCAUUUCCAAGCUUCUUGUGCGUUUGCACUCUGCAGUAUAAAAGACAUCUUAACCUAAAAUGACAAAACUGUACUUAGGAACUUUUCCCAAAAUCUGCUUGCUUCUAAUGCAGCCUUUUGUAUCUCAUUUAAUAGCAACUUUUUUUCUUAGUCUUCAAAAUUUGGGAGUCACAAUUGACUGUUAUCUCCUCUCACACCCCAUAUUUGAUAUUAAAUUGAUAAUACAUUUGGAAGUUGUCUGCGUAUUUUUUUUUUUUUUACCUCAUCUACUGUAAACUAGGUCCAGGACACCUAAACCACUGCAUGAUUUCAGUAGUCUCCUAAGUACUCUCUCUACUUCUAGCUAUUCCUCUUUUUUUUUUUCUCAACACAACCACCAUAGUUAGCCUGUUAAGACCUGUGUCACAUACACAGAAGUUGGUCUCCUCAAUAAGCAGAUUCUCAGAUGGGGUUUAAUCCACAGUAGGUUUAUCAAGGUGUUUCUUUUCCUUUAGCACCUGGUAUUAAGGUAUUAAUGUGUCCGGAAUUGGUGGGUUCUUGGUCUCGCUGACUUCAAGAAUGAAGGCCGCAGGCCCUCGAGGUGAGUGCUACAGUUCACAAAGGCGGCGUGGACCAAAAGAGUGAGCAGCAGCAAGAUUUAUUGCGAGCAAAAGAACAAACGCCCCAAGCCUGAAAGGCGACCCAAGCAAGUUGCAGCUGCUGCCUCAGGCAGCCUGCUUUUAUUCCCUUAUCUGACCACCACCCCCCCCCCCCCCCCACAUCCUGCUGAUUGGUCCAUUUUACAGAGAGCUGAUUGGUCUGUUUUGACAGGGUGCUGACUGGUGCAUUUACAAACCUUUAGCUAGACACAGAGUACUGAUUGGUGCGUUUACAAUC